GAUGAACGCUGACAGAAUGCUUAACACAUGCAAGUCUUUGGCGAAUCUGUGCUUGCACAGGCUAGCCAAGGCGGACGGGUGAGUAACGCGUAAAGAACUUGCCCUGCAGACAGGGAUAACAGACGGAAACGACUGAUAACACCUGAUACAGUUGCCGGCACGCAUGUGCCUGGCAAUGAAAAGAGAUGCUGCAGGAGAGCUUUGCGUCCUAUUAGCUUGUUGGUGAGGUGACGGCUCACCAAGGCGAUGAUAGGGAGCCGGCCUGAGAGGGUGAACGGCCAAAAGGGGACUGAGAUGCGGCCCUUACGCCUACGGGAGGAAGCAGUGGGGAAUAUUGGACAAUGGGGGCAACCCUGAUCAAGCAAUUCUGUGCGCACGAAGAAGGUUUUCGGAUUGUAAAGUGCUUUCAGCAGGGAAGAAGAAAGUGACGGUACCUGCAGAAGAAGCGACGGCUAAAUACGUG
rnacentral:rRNA from 1 species